rnacentral:rRNA from 1 species
ACGUGAUCUGAGUUCAGACCGGAGUAAUCCAGGUCGGUUUCUAUCUAUAACAAAGCUUAUUCUAGUACGAAAGGACCGAAAAAGCGCGGCCUAUGCCUCAGACAAGCCACCACUAAAAAUUUUUGCCCAAAACUCAAUUAAUUAUUAGUUUUCCUUAAACCUCAAGACAAGAGA